UCCGGCUUAUCACCGGCGGUUUCUUUAGAGUGCCCAACUAAAUGAUGGCAACUAAAGACGAGGGUUGCGCUCGUUGCGGGACUUAACCCAACAUCUCACGACACGAGCUGACGACAGCCGUGCACCACCUAUCGCCGGCCCCGAAGGACACCGUAUCUCUACGGCUUUUCCAGCGUAGUUCAACCCAGGUAAGGUUCUUCGCGUCGCCUCGAAUUAAGGCACAUGCUCCGCCGCUUGUGCGGGCCCCCGUCAAUUCCUUUGAGUUUUAGCCUUGCGGCCGUACUCCCCAGGCGGGGCACUUAAUGCGUUAGCUGCGGCGCGGAAACCGUGGAAUGGCCCCCACACCUAGUGCCCAACGUUUACGGCAUGGACUAC
rnacentral:misc_RNA from 1 species